rnacentral:rRNA from 1 species
UACGUAGGGCGCAAGCGUUGUCCGGAAUUAUUGGGCGUAAAGAGCUCGUAGGCGGCUUGGUAAGUCGGGUGUGAAACCUCCAGGCUCAACCUGGAGACGCCACUCGAUACUGCCAUGGCUAGAGUCCGGUAGGGGCCCACGGAAUUCCUGGUGUAGCGGUGAAAUGCGCAGAUAUCAGGAGGAACACCGAUGGCGAAGGCAGGUCUCUGGGCCACUACUGACGCUGAGAAGCGAAAGCAUGGGGAGCGAACAGG